AGAGUUUGAUCCUGGCUCAGGAUGAACGCUGGCGGCGUGCCUAACACAUGCAAGUCGAACGGAUCCAUAUUGAAACCUAGUGAUGUAUGGAUUAGUGGCGGACGGGUGAGUAACGCGUGGAUAACCUGCCGUAUACAGGGGGAUAACACUUAGAAAUAGGUGCUAAUACCGCAUAAGCGCACGGUUCCGCAUGGAACAGUGUGAAAAACUCCGGUGGUAUACGAUGGAUCCGCGUCUGAUUAGCCAGUUGGCGGGGUAACGGCCCACCAAAGCGACGAUCAGUAGCCGGCCUGAGAGGGUGAACGGCCACAUUGGGACUGAGACACGGCCCAAACUCCUACGGGAGGCAGCAGUGGGGAAUAUUGCACAAUGGGGGAAACCCUGAUGCAGCGACGCCGCGUGAGUGAAGAAGUAUUUCGGUACGUAAAGCUCUAUCAGCAGGGAAGAAAAAAAGUCCUUUGGACUUUGGACGGUACCUGACCAAGAAGCCCCGGCUAACUACGUG
rnacentral:rRNA from 1 species